GACGGAGGAUGCAAGCGUUAUCCGGAAUUAUUGGGCGUAAAGCGUACGCAGGUGGCCCAACAAGUCUUUUGUUAAAGCGUGAGGCUCAACCUCAUAAAGGCAAAAGAAACUGUUGAGCUAGAGUAUGGUAGGGGCAGGAGGAAUUCCCGGUGUAGCGGUGAAAUGCGUAGAUAUCGGGAAGAACACCAGCGGCGAAAGCGUCCUGCUAAGCCAAAACUGACACUCAUGUACGAAAGCUAGGGGAGCGAAUGGG
rnacentral:rRNA from 1 species